rnacentral:rRNA from 1 species
UACAGAGGUCUCAAGCGUUUGUUCGGAUUCAUUGGGCGUAAAGGGUGCGUAGGCGGCGCGGUAAGUCGGGGUGUGAAAUCUCGGGAGCUUAACUCCGAAACUGCAUUCGAUACUGCCGUGCUUGAGGACUGGAGAGGAGACUGGAAUUUACGGUGUAGCAGUGAAAUGCGUAGAUAUCGUGAGGAAGACCAGUGGCGAAGGCGGGUCUCUGGACAGUUCCUGACACUGAGACACGAAGGCCAGGGGAGCAAACGGG